GACAACAGUGAAAACCUGGGAGAAACACCACCAGGAGACUGGACUUUCAUCUAUGUUGCAAAAGGCAGUUUUCUAGGCACCAAGACUGAUAAAUCGAGGCCUAAACAUGAAAGCUCUUGACAAGGAUCUCCUCUAGCUGAGGAACAUCAUGCCUACAACACUGGAGAAAGGAACACACUGCGAAAUGGGAUUUCUCCUUUGAUUAAAAUGGAGAUGACUUCAAAAGGAACAUGGAGAAGCUGGAGCAAACGUAAUGGGUUGAGGUGAUAGGCUGGCUGAUGUGAAAUGUUUCCUCAUACUUAAAUGAUAGUAAUUAUGGUAUAAUGUUGUAUAAAUAUUUUUCAAGCUGAUUGAUAAGAAACUCCCCUCACCCCAAGCUCAAUUUCUGCUUUCUAAACUAUGUGGCUCCAUCAGUGAGGGACACGGUCUUAGUGGAUUUUUCUCUACCCACUUCAAAGCAUGAUCUUACUAGAAAAAUAAGAGCUGAGAGUACCUUCCUGCCAACUUGGGAGGGGUGAAAAGAUACCCCACCAUGGAACAGCUGCCUCGUGGUAGUCCAACUUUGAGAGAACAAAAUGAAAACCUUUGGACCCAUGAAGGAUGGUCCUAAAAAGGGAAAUUCUAGGACGACCUCUAACGAUACUCCAUCUGUCCUACAGCAGGAGCAGACUUAUACAGGGCUGUGAAACUUAGAAAGGAAUGUAGAAAUUUUUAAAAAGAAAAAAGCAAACAGUAACACCUUCUGUUAAAACUUGGAGAUCAUCUUUCGGAGGAUCUGUAUCAAUAAACAUUCAACUCAA